rnacentral:lncRNA from 1 species
ACAAAAAUACGCGAAAAAAUAAAAUAAAUGCACAAUGCCUAUCUCACAGAAUGUGUCAAACAUAUAAAGCACUCAUCAUAGUAUCAGAGGAACUAAAUGACAGAUAACAUAGAAAAGACAGUAAGAUAAAGAGAAAAAUAUGGAAGAAAGCAAACAAGCAAUACUAACAUUCAUUGAAAAUUAACUAAAUUAAGUUUGACUCUCUCUUAUAGGAGUGUUAUUCCCAGCAGAGUCGUCGACCGUCACAUCUCAA